AUGCUCGCUUUGGCAGCACACAUACAAAAAUUAGAAUGAUACAGAGAAGAUUAGUAGGGCCCCUGUGCAAGGGUGACACACAAAUUCAUGAAGUGUUCCAUAUAAAA
ensembl:snRNA U6 U6 spliceosomal RNA